rnacentral:rRNA from 1 species
AGGACGAACGCUGGCGGUGUGCUUCACACAUGCAAGUCGAACGGGGUAGCAAUACCCAGUGGCGGACGGGUGAGUAACGCGUAGAAAUCUGCCUUGAGAUGGGGGAUAACAGUCCGAAAGGCUAGCUAAUACCGCAUACGUCUUUGGCCGGCAUCGGCCGAUGAUAAAAGGAGCAAUCCGCAAGGUGACGGGACCGCGUCCCAUUAGCUAGUUGGUGAGGUAAUGGCCCACCAAGGCUCCGAUGGGUAGCUGGUUUGAGAGAGCGACCAGCCACACUGGGACUGAGAUACGGCCCAGACUCCUACGGGAGGCAGCAGUGAGGAAUUUUCCGCAAUGGGCGAAAGCCUGACGGAGCGACGCCGCGUGUGGGAAGAAGGCCUUCGGGUCGUAAACCACUGUCGAAGGGAAGAUAUUGACGGUACCUUGGAGGAAGCCCGGCUAACUACGCGCCAGCAGCCGC